GGUUUCCUACGGGGGGCAGCAGUAGGGAAUCUUCGGCAAUGGACGAAAGUCUGACCGAGCAACGCCGCGUGAGUGAAGAAGGUUUUCGGAUCGUAAACUCUGUUGGUAGAGAAGAACGUUGGUGAGAGUGGAAAGCUCAUCAAGUGACGGUAACUACCCAGAAAGGGACGGCUAACUACGUGCCAGCAGCCGCGGGAAUACGUAGGUCCCGAGCGUUGUCCGGAUUUAUUGGGCGUAAAGCGAGCGCAGGGGGUUUAUUAAGUCUGGUGUGAAAGGCAUGGGCUCAACCAUUGUAUGCAUUGGAA
rnacentral:rRNA from 1 species